rnacentral:rRNA from 1 species
UGGGGAAUAUUGCACAAUGGGGGAAACCCUGAUGCAGCAACGCCGCGUGGAGGAAGAAGCAUUUCGGUGUGUAAACUCCUUUUAUAUAGGAAGAUAAUGACGGUACUAUAUGAAUAAGCACCGGCUAACUCCGUGCCAGCAGCCGCGGUAAUA